rnacentral:rRNA from 1 species
UACGUAGGGGCCUAGCGUUGUCCGGAUUUAUUGGGCGUAAAGAGCUCGUAGGCGGUUUGGUAAGUCAGGUGUGAAAUCUCCACGCUCAACGUGGAGGGGCCACCUGAUACUGCCAUGACUGGAGUCCGGUAGAGGAGUGUGGAAUUCCCGGUGUAGCGGUGAAAUGCGCAGAUAUCGGGAGGAACACCCGUAGCGAAGGCGGCACUCUGGGCCGGUACUGACGCUGAGGAGCGAAAGCGUGGGGAGCAAACAGG